GAGAAAAUACUUUAUAAUACAAAGGCAAUGAUAUACAUACAAAGAAGAAGAAUGAUUGUAGGCAAAAUUCCAGCACAAAUGCACCCCAAUAAUGGUCUCUACCUCACCAAAACUCCAGUUUUCCCUUCAGUAUUUUGUCUAAAUAGAGAUAAAUAUCCACACACACACAAAAUCAGACCAGGGGAUGCAGCAAUAAAGUAUAAUAUAUCUGGAAUCCUAAUUAGGAUUUUCCGCUGUCGACACCGAGUUCAAAAUGCAACCAUAACCACAACCACAACAAGUUUAAUUCACCUUGUAUCAUCAAUCAAAAUUGUCAAUGUAAGCUGUAAAAUGCCUUCAAGGUUCUGCAAUCAGAAUCUGUCCAUCUCAAUGUUCAGCAGCACCAGUUAAAAUUAUUUUGUGUAUUCCUGCAAAAUUAUAUCGAUACCUGAUAAAAAAAAUACUGGUCACUUAAAAUUCUCAUAACAGACUGUUAUAUUUUUUUUUGGAUGCACAAAUUCCAAUAUUAUUUUAUAUAUAAGCUGGAUCUACCUCUUUUCUCGAUCUUCCUCUUCUCUAGAUCUUCAUCACCACUAAAAUGGAUUUUGAAUCUCAUCCCAACAAAAAGUUUGUACAUCUGAGCUUUAAGGUACUUGUUGACGGUUGACACUUGCCAUAAACUUGGACUUGCUAAUUCUGGAAUAAACAAGUAGUUUUCAGGAACUACUUAAAUUAAAAAUAUACUUGAAAUUAAAAAGUAGAAAGGAGACUUGGAAAAAGAAUAAGUAGAAAGGAGUCAAUUUUAAGAAACUUGGAACUUAUGUACUACUAAAAGUGAUUCACUUAUGCUACGUUAAGUACGUUCGGAUUGAAGGAAUGGAAUGGAGAAUGGUUCAUUCCAUUCUAGUUAGAAUGAGUUAUUCCAUACUCUCCAUCCCCAAAGAAUAAAAUUCAUAAAUUUGAGAGAAAUAAGAAUGGUUCAAUCCAUUUCAAUCGCAACCAAACACAAUUUUUUUAAUUCAAUAAGUCAUUCCAUUCCUAUCUUCGUUACUCCAAUCCAAACGUAGUAUUAGUUUGAUCAAGUUAUAAGAAUCAUGUCUAAUUCACAAUCAUAGAUCAAAAUUAUAUUAAAGAUUUCAAAUCAUCAGUAGGACCAUGUUACAUUGAAGAACGGCUAGCUAUAAGGAAGCUUUUAGUAGACGUUGGUGCUAUUUACUUAGAAUAUCAAGUUUUUGUUAGGAAAUCAACACUUCUAAAUUUCUUUGCUGCUUCUUUUAAGGUUUCUCCAUUUUCUUAACCAAUGAAUAUUACUUUUGUAGCUUCAAUGAUGUUUUCGAGUUUAUUAGUAUCUUAUGAGAGGAGGUGUCAAUGCUGAAGGGUGAUUAGUCCUCGAAUUGGGAGAAGCUUAACUUAAGUGGUUGCGAGUAUGUAGGCUUGGUGAGAAAAUAUUCUUAUGUACACUUUCUAUUAUGGAUAUAGGACCAGUGUGAGCUUUUAGCAAGGCAAUUAUUGAAAUCAUAGGCUUAUGAAGGAUUUGCUUCCUAAAACUCCUCCAGAAUUGCAGAAGAGGAGAUUAUAGUCAUAGUCUGUGGAGUACUGCAGAGGUAAUUUUGUUUACUUCCUAUGUGAAAAUGUGGUGAGGAAAUUAUUAGCGUACGUUCGUGCAUGCAGAAGGAAAUGAAAAGGAGAUUGUUUUGAGAGGCAAAGUUGCAGAUUUGAACUUGAUCAAUAUUAUCACACGAUAUGUUUCUUUUGUUUCCCCUUUUGGUUGGUCUCUGGGAGAUGGCUCUUUUCAUUCGUUAAAGUUGUGCAAAACGUUCCUCUACUUUGUUUUCGCUCUAUUCUUUUCUUUGACUUGAAUUAUGCAUUUAAUAUACCAGAUCAUCGUUAAAUUGUGCACAUACAUAUUUCAAAAAAGAUUAGUGCAUAAGUUCCAAUAUUUCUCUUUCUAGAAUACCAAAUAGAAAAUAAAUUAUUACCCAGUUUAAGCAUAAUGUAACUUGCCUUAGGAGUACAACAUCCACACCUGCUACAAGCUUCUUAGAAUUAACAAAUAAGCUCCCACCACCAGUUGUAAAGAGCUCCUACACUAGGCAACAUUACUAGUAUUUUGGCAAGAGCAUGCCAGAGUUCCUUACACAGCACAUCAGUAUUAGAGUUCCCGAUAAUACACGUAACAAAUGAGAAUUAAAAACUAGAAUAGACAGAAUAACUAUUAUAAUUCCAAACAUUGACCAUUAUUAAGUUGCAAACUACUUGGUAUUAUAGAUUUGAAAUUAGAGAGAGAGAGGGGGGGNNNNNNNNNNNNNNNNNNNNNNNNNNNNNNNNNNNNNNNNNNNNNNNNNNNNNNNNNNNNNNNNNNNNNNNNNNNNNNNNNNNNNNNNNNNNNNNNNNNNGGGGGGAUAUAUGACAAAUAAAGCCAAAUGAAAACCAAACCAAAGGUAACUACCAGAUUACCAGAAUUAGGUC
rnacentral:lncRNA from 1 species